UACUUUAUAACAAUGAUAUGACACUAAUUUUCAAGUCACAAAUAUCACUUAGGUAGCAAUAUCAUACCAUACCAUACCAUACCAUAUCAUACCAUACCAU